UGCAGAUGCACAAGGUAUGACUUCUGAAACAGCAAUGACCUAAAAGGGGCCUUACAGUUGAAGGCACAGGACAGUGAUGGAAAGACAGAUGGUGAUGGUAAUGGGAUUUUUGUGGCCAUGUGAUUUGUACUCAUGGAUACAGACUUUCACCAAAGGCAGACACUAGGGGGCGCUAUUGAGUCUGGCUUCAUACAGCUGCCAGUAUAUUUCAGUCACUCCAGUAUGAAACUGUUCAGUGUCCUGGCAGAACUGCGGAGAGCUCAAUACCACCGACAGAGGCCCUGAGGUUUCUUCAUGGCAUUUUGUAAGUGCUGGUGUGCCUAGUUCAGCCAUCAUGGAUGUCUUCCUUACAACGACUGGCACUUUUCCACACACAAUUUUACAGAAAGGGUUCCCACCUCUAAAUCGGUAGUAUAAGGACUGAAAAUUGGUGUGCAAAGAGAAUGAAAGGGAAGGAACUGUAACCGUGAACAGUGAGGAGUGAGACAGGAGGGGAGAGCUGUUGUAGAAGUUGUGGCUUUAUUGGUGAUGGGCACUGCUUCAAGUUUCUCUCUUGUGCUCCACCCCAAAAGCCACUUUUAUGGUGCUGUUUACUAGCUGAAGCUUCCAGAGAUCUUUAUCACAAAGUCUUUGAUAGGCCAGAUUUCUUCCACAGUCCUUAUGCUGCUGGAUCAGAGCACUAAACCACAAGAGACGGCAAACCAACAGCGCUUACAGGACAGAACAACACUUCACUUGUGUGUUAAUAUGUGCUGAAAUCAGUGCGGAUAUGCUCUACAGGCAAUUAAUGAUGGGUAAAUGGUCAGGGCAUUAACUAAAGCCAGUGAAUAAGUAUUUAAAUCGCAUAAAAAAUAUAUUUUAGCAUUUCAAAAAAACACACAGGGACUGGGGCUGCUGAUAGUUACGCUACUAUUCAAAAGUUUGGCGUCUGUACGUUUUUUUUUUUUAAUGAAAUGAUUACUUUAUUUAGCAAGGAUGCAUUAAAUUGAUCAAAAGUGGCAAUAAAGACAUUUAUAAUGUUACAAAAGGUUUUAAAAUAAAUGCUGUUCUUUUGAAAUUUCUAUUCAUCAAAGAAUCUUGAAAAAAGUAUCACGUUUCCACAAAAAUGUUAAGCGGCACAACUGUUUUCAAUAGAAAAGUUUCUUAAGCAGCAAAUCAGCAUAUUAGAAUGAUUUCUAAAGGAUCAUGUGACACUGAAGACUAGAGUAAUGAUGCUGAAAAUUCAGCUUUGCAUAAAUUGAAAACAUUUAUUUUAAAUCGUAAUAUUUUACAAUAUUACUGUUUUUACUGUAUUUUUGAUCGAAUAAAUAAAAUAUUUUUGACCAAAAAGUGCGAUUUCAAAAAUGUUUAAAAAUCUUACUGACCCCUAAUGUAUUUCAAACAUUUGUUAUAUUUUGCUAGUGAUAUAAAAUUACGCAACAUUGCACCAUAAUAAACAAUUAUAGCUUUAGACCAAAAUCUAAGACAGCAUGACACAUAAUUUGCAGAAAAUUGAGAGAAAUUUAAUAGAAAUUUAUAAAUACAGUCCUACUUACACUUUUAUUCAGUACCAUAUAGCAUCAAAAAUAGUUCAAUCUUACUAAAAUUGAUUGUUUUACCCAAUAUUGGUGCGUAAAAAGAUUGUGGAAUACUUUAAAAACAAUGUUCCUCAAUGUCAAAUUGCAAAGGCUUUGCAAAUCUCAUCAUCUACAGUGCAUAACAUCAUCAAAAGAUUCAGAGAAACUGGAGAAAUUUCUGUGCGUAAGGGACAAGGCCGAAGACCUUUAUUGGAUGCCCGUAGUCUUCAGACGACACUGCAUCACUCAUCGGCAUGAUUGUGCCAAUGACAUUAAUAAAUGGGCCCAGGAAUACAGAAACCACUGUCGGUAAACACAGUCUGCCGUGCCAUCUGCAGAUGCCAACUAAAGCUCUAUCAUGCAAAAAGGAAGUCAUAUGUGAACAUGGACCAGAAGCGCCUUCGUGUUUUGUGGGCCAAGGCUCAUUUAUAAUGGACUGUUUCAAAGUGGAAAAGUGUUCUAUGGUCAGACGAGUCCAAAUUUGACAUCUAUUUUAGGGAAGGCCUUGUGUAUUUCAGCAGGACAAUGCAAAACCACAUACUGCAGCUAUUACAACAGCAUGGCUUCGUCGUAGAAGAGUCUGGGUGCCGAAUUGGCCUGCCUGCAGUCCAGAUCUUUCACCUAUAGAGAACAUUUGGCGCAUCAUUAAAUGAAAGACAACCACAAACUCUUCAGCAGCUGGAAACCUAUAUCAGGCAAGAAUGGGACCAAAUUCCAACACCAAAACUCCAGAAACUCAUAACCUCAAUGCCCAGUCGUCUUCAAACUGUUUUGAAAAGAAGAGGAGAUACACCAUGGUAAACGUGCCCCCGUCCCAACUAUUUUGAGACCUGUAGCCAGCAUCAAAUUUGAAAUGAGCUCAUUUUGUGCAUAAAAUUGUAAAAUUUCUCACUU